UAAGGAAUUUUGCGCAAUGGGCGAAAGCCUGACGCAGCGACGCCGCCUGGGUGAUGAAGGCCUUCGGGUUGUAAAGCCCUGUGGGGAGGGACGAAUAAGUGUCGGUGAAUAUCCGGCGCGAUGACGGUACCUCCUUAGCAAGCACCGGCUAACUCUGUG
rnacentral:rRNA from 1 species